UGGGGUUCAGUGGUAGAACAUUCGCCUCACAGGUGGAAAGCCCUGGGUUCGAUCCUCAGCA
rnacentral:tRNA from 1 species